GACGAACGCNGGCGGCGUGCUUAACACAUGCAAGUCGAACGAAGAGCGAUGGAAGCUUGCUUCUAUCAAUCUUAGUGGCGAACGGGUGAGUAACGCGUAAUCAACCUGCCCUUCAGAGGGGGACAACAGUUGGAAACGACUGCUAGUACCGCAUACGAUCUAAUCUCGGCAUCGAGGAUAGAUGAAAGGUGGCCUCUACAUGUAAGCUAUCACUGAAGGAGGGGAUUGCGUCUGAUUAGCUAGUUGGAGGGGUAACGGCCCACCAAGGCGAUGAUCAGUAGCCGGUCUGAGAGGAUGAACGGCCACAUUGGGACAGAGACACGGCCCAGACUCCUACGGGAGGCAGCAGUGGGGAAUCUUCCGCAAUGGACGAAAGUCUGACGGAGCAACGCCGCGUGAGUGAUGACGGCCUUCGGGUUGUAAAG
rnacentral:rRNA from 1 species